rnacentral:rRNA from 1 species
CCUACGGGAGGCAGCAGUAGGGAAUCUUCCGCAAUGGACGAAAGUCUGACGGAGCAACGCCGCGUGAGUGAAGAAGGUUUUCGGAUCGUAAAACUCUGUUGUCAGAGAAGAACAAUGUUGGAGAGUAACUGCUCCAGCCUUGACGGUAUCUGACCAGAAAGCCACGGCUAACUACGUGCCAGCAGCCGCGGUAAU